GAUGAACGCUGGCGGCGUGCCUAAUACAUGCAAGUCGAGCGAACGGACGAGAAGCUUGCUUCUCUGAUGUUAGCGGCGGACGGGUGAGUAACACGUGGAUAACCUACCUAUAAGACUGGGAUAACUUCGGGAAACCGGAGCUAAUACCGGAUAAUAUUUUGAACCGCAUGGUUCAAAAGUGAAAGACGGUCUUGCUGUCACUUAUAGAUGGAUCCGCGCUGCAUUAGCUAGUUGGUAAGGUAACGGCUUACCGAGGCAACGAUGCAUAGCCGACCUGAGAGGGUGAUCGGCCACACUGGAACUGAGACACGGUCCAGACUCCUACGGGAGGCAGCAGUAGGGAACCUUCCGCAAUGGGCGAAAGCCUGACGGAGCAACGCCGCGUGAGUGAUGAAGGUCUUCGGAUCGUAAAACUCUGUUAUUAGGGAAGAACAUAUGUGUAAGUAACUGUGCACAUCUUGACGGUACCUAAUCAGAAAGCCACGGCUAACUACGUG
rnacentral:rRNA from 1 species